ACAGCAACUAGAAGAGGAACAAGAACUGUCCAAGCUGGGUGAAGUCUCGGUUUAUAUACGUUUUGGUUUUAGGAUGUUGAGGGGCUAGGUGUAGGUUAUGAUGUAGAAAAGUGUCCGAAGGUCGGGGGUCCAUAUCCUAUCUCUGAUGUGGACGGAGGUGCGUCACAGCCUUGGUGUAUGCUAUGAUGAUAAGGUGGUGAUGUGUCCAAAAGUGUCCGAAGGUCGGGUGUCGAUGUAUUAUCACUGAUGUAGGUUGAGAUGUGAUUGAUGUCACAAGAGCUUGGUCGAAUAUUAACUUUCAACAACUCUUUUCAAACUCACCAGUCACAAGCCACGGUUUACUGAAUACAUCUUUUUGGAAAAUCCUUUUUAGAUUUUCGUACAAGGAACAUGGUUUGUUUGACAAGGGAUUUUCUUUUGAAGCAAUUUGGGGUGACAAAAAGGUCUUUUUGUUAGGUAGCUUAUCAAUAAAAAUGUUUUAUUAAUGACGUAACUGGAACGAAUACUAACGAAUUUAAAUAGAAUCGACGACCAAAUGGAAUAUAUCUUCUUUUCAAUUUUCAUAAAUCGAAAGCCCUAUGGAUACGUAUAAAUGUUUCUUUUACUCGUAGUAAAUUAUUAUUAUUCUAUUAUACGUGUGUAUACUACAGAAGGACCAUACUAAUAGGCACCAACAGCUUUCAUCUAACAUAAUAUUUUCAUGGAAUCUUAUAAUCAUCUUCGCCUCAUUGUCUCCGAAUAAGUCGUAUUUAACAACAUUUCGAAUUUCGAUUUGUUGAAAAAGCCGCUCAAAUUGAUGCACAAAUUUGACUUCGCAAAUCGCCUUUUUGCACUCCCCGUACUGGCGAGAACGAAGAUAAAUGUUCGGCACUGAGCUACUGCUCAGUUGCUACGAGUUAAUCCUCGUUUUGCUUCAAGUAAAUGAAACGCUCUAAUCUGUAAGACGUCCAUAAGAUUCGGUUGACGGUGGCUGUUUCGUGUUAAUCGGUGUCUCAAUUUUCUAAUUUAAUUAUUGUGCUCGAUUUAAUGACAUGGCGAUCUGGUCCAAAAAAAAAAAAAAAAAGUGACUCCUUUUUUUGCUUUGAUAUAAGAUUUUUAUUUUUACGUAUGAAAUAUGGCGAAGAAGUAGUGACCUCUCUUUUAUCGAUGUAAUCAUAUUAGGGGAACGCAGUAAAUGGCUUCUGCAAUAUCAUGGAACUAUUCGUAUCCCUCGAUUAAUCAAGUUCCCCUAGGUCAGUGGUUCUCAAUUCUUGAAGCGUUUAUCGAUUAAAAAAUAGUUCUAAAUCUUCUUCGAUUUUCUCCAAAGAAUUUUCAAAUUGAAUAUUUAAGACAACAUUUAAUGAAUUCAAAUUGAAACGCCUUAUUUUAUCACGUAAAC